CCUCGAGCGCACGGUACCACGCGAGGGAAAAAAACACCGCGCUGUGGUGAGCCCCGCGCCGGUCCGCUACUCCGCUUUCUCCUCCGUCGCCCUCGUCUUCAACCCUAAUCUUUUCCCCCAGCCGCCUUCUCAAGCUCCUCAUCCCCUCCACUCCCUCGACAACGGUGGCGGCGGCCCCCUCUGGUGGCGGAGGAGGAGGGGGGAGAUGGUGGCGCGGCGGCGACCUUCCCCUCACGCAUCCCAUCCCCCCUCGUCAUCCCGGAUCCCACCGGACCCGAGGCGUGCGGGCGCGGCGGCGAUCUGCAAGGGAAGGGCGACGGUCGAAUCGAUCCAGCGCCAUGGAUCCUAGACCCCCCCCCCCCCCCCCCCCCCCAAUCCCCUGUCCGCCCCUCUCUCCUCGCGCAUCCUCUUUCCUCUCCACAUCUGGCCGGAGGAGAACGCGGCAGCGGUGGCAUCUCCUGGCGACGGCAGUGGGGGCGGGCGAGGUUGCAAGGUGACGGCCCGAGGUGGCGGUGGAGGAGCUGCUCUUUGGGUCGAGGUGGGGCUCGCGAGGCUUCAAGGCGACGGGCCGAAACAAGGGUGCAAGGAUCCGGUUGGUCUAUUGUUACUGCUGGCGAUGGACGGAGGAGGUGCUCUCGGGUCGAGGUGGCAGCGCCGUCGGUGAUGCUAAGGGAGAAGGAAUGGGCAAGCGAGGCCAGCAGGGGAAGGAAUUGGGUGUGGCAUCACACGCUGGCUUGUUGCUUGCACCUGAAGAAGACAGAUACCAGCAGCCGAUGGACACCAUCUGGUGUUGGUUACAGUAGGCUCUGAGGCAGGAUGUGAUUCUUAUCUUUAAAGAGUGGCAAGCUCGAGUUGUGAAUCUGCUGCUAUACAUUGUCUGAGGAAAGCAAUAGGCAUACACAUGACAUUCAGCAAUCUCUCGGAUGUAAGGCCAAUGAGAUUUGCAGGCUUCAUGCAGUAACACUCUAAAUAGGAGGUGUGUUAUGCUGGAGCAGGAGGCUGGAAUGAAUAUACUACUAUGGAAGGUAGAAAGGCUAAGACAAAGAAUGAUUUUAGUGGGAGGUUCAACCUGGGAGAGGUGCGCUGAACUACUCAAGAAAAGAGACUCACAUCAUUGGCCGAUGCAUAUUCUACGACAUGAAAAACACCUCAAGGAAUUGUUGUUUCCAAGGUGGGCUGAGUUUAGGGACGGCAGCAGUUCUACCACCGAUGGUGUUGCAUGUAAGCUGGAUGUUCUCAUUGUUCUGUUGGCCCUGAUCGGCAGUGUGGAUGCUAUGAAGUUAAGGUUCUUUAGAUGAAUGCUGUUUAUAGAAGUGAUGCAUGAUGUGAGGUACAACUAUGAAAGUGACAUUAAUUUUGGUUUUGCUUCCUAUCCGCAGCCUCUUCUACACUAGAUCUUCAGAAAAGGAAAACACUCGACGAUCUGGCUCUGUCUCGGGUAUGUGCUCCCUCGCCCGCAAGAUCUGCUCUCUCCCAUCUACGCAUCGCGGCAGCACUUCAUCUCCUCUUGUGGAUUCUCACCAGAUCAGGCCACCUCACUCACCUUCAGGACCUCGCCGGCAGAUCCCUCAGCUAUCAAGGAAGGCAGCCAUCAGCGGAGAUUGAGGGUGCCUCUCUGGCGAGAGUGCACGUGUCCGGGUGGUUUCCCAUCAGCAGCGUGGGUGAGGCGGUGUCUUCUGCAGCUAGGUCUACUUGCUGGCGACCUCACCAUCACCAGCCCAUCUGCAGAUGAGGAUGUACGAAGGAUUUGGCCGUGAACUCAAUCAGACCAUUGGAUUGAAGCUAAAGGGGGCAUUGCAAAGAUAUGAAGGAAUGGCCUUUCGUUCAGAACCUGGUCAGCUACAUAACUUCUGGUCGUACAUGUUUCUGUUGCAGCGGCCCAGUCACGCGGAGAAGAAUGGCAGACGCUGAGAAUUGUGUCAGCUGAUUUUCUAAUUCAUGUUCAGCUCAUGGAUUCUCAUUUAUCUCUUCCAUUUACACAACGAGCGGCCUUCUUAUGAACAAGCAAAUAUCUGCCUCGGCCUUCUCUUUUAUCCUGCGGCACCCACCAAAUCGUAUCCUAUGUUUGCCGGGUUCGUCUUCUCACUCUAUGCCGGGAGCUCUUCUCUGCGUUGACUGAUUCUGCAGGCGCAUAGAUCCAUGUCGUUCCAAGUUACAACAAUGAUCUUUCUACUCAUGAGUAUCUUCUUUAAACUGAUGAAUUUUGAUGCAUACUGUGUGCAGAAAAUAAGGCCUCUAACAAAAGUACAAUCAGGUAGCAAUGGAAGUAAUCCGUUCUAAAACCAGUAAUAUCUCUGAAUUAUUACACUAGACUGCUUCACAUUUGGUCCCUUCUCCUUUUCUUAGGAACUUGGCAUAAGCUAUACGUAUGCAAAUAGAGGUUCAGACACAACUCCAUGAACACCUUAUAGAUGCAUGAUGCUCUGACAAGCGGAAACAUCAGGACUACAGACAGAUAGAAGAAGCUUUUAUCAAAGUCUCCCCUUUCUGACAAUUGAGAGAAUUUUUAUGCAAGAUAAAUUUAACUCUGUUCUUGGUCAUGAAUCUUUACGUGUCUGUGCUCAACUGAAUCGUGUUUCCUUGGUGUGAUCUCUCCCAGAGCAAGAAGUAGUAUAACCGGCGGGAAAUGCUAGAGAUUUUUUGCUAUGUACCAUCAAGAUAGUAUGGCUUAUCAUUUUAAAUAGCAAUGCCUAAUGAGUGCUCAUCAUAUUAGUCCUUAAUACUCUGUCUUGCUGGCCAUGUACUAAAAAUGGCACUUCCACGUCUAAUGAAGAUAAGUAUGCUUGUGA